rnacentral:rRNA from 1 species
CCUACGUGAGGCAGCAGUGAGGAAUAGUGGUCAAUGGGCGCGAGCCUGAACCAGCCAAGUAGCGUGAAGGAUGACUGCCCUACGGGUUGUAAACUUCUUGUAUAAAGGAAUAAAGUGAGGCACGUGUGCAUGUUUGUAUGUACUUGAUGAAUAAGGAGCGGCUAACUCCGUGCCAGCAGCCGCGGUAAUACGGAGGAUCCGAGCGUUAUCCGGAUUUAUUGGGUUUAAAGGGAGCGUAGAUGGGUUGUUAAGUCAGUUGUUAAAGUUUGCGGCUAAACCGUAAAAUUGCAAUUGAUACUGGCAGUCUUGAGUACAGUUUAGGUAGGCGGAAUUCGUUGUGUAGCGGU